rnacentral:rRNA from 1 species
UUAACACAUGCAAGUCGAACGAUGAACCCCGCUUGCGGGGGGAUUAGUGGCGAACGGGUGAGUAACACGUGAGUAACCUGCCCUUAACUCUGGGAUAAGCCUUGGAAACGGGGUCUAAUACUGGAUAUUGACUUUUCCUCGCAUGGGGAUUGGUUGAAAGAUUUAUUGGUUUUGGAUGGACUCGCGGCCUAUCAGCUUGUUGGUGAGGUAAUGGCUCACCAAGGCGACGACGGGUAGCCGGCCUGAGAGGGUGACCGGCCACACUGGGACUGAGACACGGCCCAGACUCCUACGGGAGGCAGCAGUGGGGAAUAUUGCACAAUGGGCGAAAGCCUGAUGCAGCGACGCCGCGUGAGGGAUGACGGCCUUCGGGUUGUAAACCUCUUUCAGUAGGGAACAAGGCCAGUGUUUAGCUGGUUGAGGGUACUUGCAGAAGAAGCGCCGGCUAACUACGUGCCAGCAGCCGCGGUAAUACGUAGGGCGCAAGCGUUAUCCGGAAUUAUUGGGCGUAAAGAGCUCGUAGGCGGUUUGUCGCGUCUGCCGUGAAAGUCCGGGGCUCAACUCCGGAUCUGCGGUGGGUACGGGCAGACUAGAGUGAUGUAGGGGAGACUGGAAUUCCUGGUGUAGCGGUGAAAUGCGCAGAUAUCAGGAGGAACACCGAUGGCGAAGGCAGGUCUCUGGGCAUUAACUGACGCUGAGGAGCGAAAGCAUGGGGAGCGAACAGGAUUAGAUACCCUGGUAGUCCAUGCCGUAAACGUUGGGC